rnacentral:rRNA from 1 species
GAUGAACGCUGGCGGCGUGCCUAAUACAUGCAAGUCGAGCGAAUGGAUUAAGAGCUUGCUCUUAUGAAGUUAGCGGCGGACGGGUGAGUAACACGUGGGUAACCUGCCCAUAAGACUGGGAUAACUCCGGGAAACCGGGGCUAAUACCGGAUAACAUUUUGAACCGCAUGGUUCGAAAUUGAAAGGCGGCUUCGGCUGUCACUUAUGGAUGGACCCGCGUCGCAUUAGCUAGGUGGUGAGGUAACGGCUCACCAAGGCAACGAUGCGUAGCCGACCUGAGAGGGUGAUCGGCCACACUGGGACUGAGACACGGCCCAGACUCCUACGGGAGGCAGCAGUAGGGUAUCUUCCGCAAUGGACGAAAGUCUGACGGAGCAGCGCCGCGUGAGUGAUGAAGGCUUUCGGGUCGUAAAACUCUGUUGUUAGGGAAGAACAAGUGCUAGUUGAAUAAGCUGGCACCUUGACGGUACCUAACCAGAAAGCCACGGCUAACUACGUGCCAGCCGCCGCAGUAA